rnacentral:misc_RNA from 1 species
GCGGACACGCGUAUGCAUCAUCUUCUUGUGGCAACGUGACGCCGUGCUGGUGUAACUUUCGUCGCAUCUGUGUUAUACAGAUACUAAUAUAAGCGGUUAUUGUCAUACGCGAAGAGAUUUUCGAGUUAGUCAGUUGAUAGAAAGUGAGGAUUUAAACGGAGAUAAUCGAGUCGAUAAGAAUGCUCGUACGUACAGAUAUGUGCUUCAGAUAUGUGAAUUCAGUGUUGAUGUUGAAUUCAUGAAGUUACGUAAAAUGGAAACAGCCUCGUCGAUUCUUUCGAUACGAAGAGUGCAUAGUUGUAUGCGAUUAAGCUGUGCAAAGAUAUUUUUUAUACGUAAACACGAAAUUAUUUAUAAAAUAAUUCGAUAUAAUCCAACACUAUUACACAUAAAGUAAUACACAGGUGUGAAAAUCUCUGCUAACUGCUAAUCUCUAUUUGCAGCUUAUUUGGAAGAGCUCGUGUACAAGACAGAGGCACGAUGAUCAACGAUGAUACGUGCCUCAGGCCAGCACAGGUUUCUGAUGGCAAUAUUAUGACUUACGAGCUACAGACCGCACGCUUAAGCGAUUUAUAAUGAUUGGCUCGAGCAAACAGUAGUCGA